CCAGACUCCUACGGGAGGCAGCAGUGGGGAAUAUUGCACAAUGGGGGGAACCCUGAUGCAGCAAUGCCGCGUGAAGGAUGAAGGUUUUCGGAUUGUAAACUUCUUUUGUACGGGACGAGGAAAGUGACGGUACCGUAAGAAUAAGCAUCGGCUAACUCCGUGCCAGCAGCCGCGGUAAUACGGAGGAUGCGAGCGUUAUCCGGAUUUAUUGGGUUUAAAGGGUGCGUAGGCGGUCCGGAAAGUCAGCGGUAAAAGCCGGGGGCUCACCCCGGGCGAGCCGUUGAAACUGUCGGACUAGAGACGGCGAGAAGUGCGCGGAAUGCGCGGUGUAGCGGUGAAAUGCAUAGAUAUCGCGCAGAACUCCGAUUGCGAAGGCAGCGUACCGGCGCCGGACUGACGCUGAGGCACGAAAGCGUGGGUAUCGAACAGGAUUAGAUACCCGUGUA
rnacentral:rRNA from 1 species